rnacentral:rRNA from 1 species
UACGUAGGGUGCGAGCGUUAAUCGGAAUUACUGGGCGUAAAGCGCGCGCAGGCGGCUGGUCAAGCCUGACGUGAAAGCCCCCGGCUCAACCGGGGAGGGUCGUCGGGGACUGGCCAGCUUGAGGGCGGUAGGGGCCGGUGGAAUUCCCGGUGUAGUGGUGAAAUGCGUAGAGAUCGGGAGGAACACCAGUGGCGAAGGCGGCCGGCUGGGCCGACCCUGACGCUGAGGCGCGAAAGCGUGGGGAGCAAACAGG